CUAAUGUGUUGUGUCGCCUUAUUUUUAUUCUUUGUUCAGCAACAAACACAUUUCUUUUUUUUGAAAACUGAAAGGGACCAAAAUUUCUAUUGUAUGUAAGAAUUACAUGUUGUUUUUGUUAUAUGUUGUCUACCUAAUGUAGUAAUAGUGUUUCACUACACUUUUUCUAUUGUAAUAAGAUUUACAAGCUAUGUUUGGUUUUUCAGCAAACUGACAACUCUAAAAAAGUGAAUGCUGGUAUGCGCAAAUCAUCACGAAAAGGAAUUGAAAUUACACUUUGGAGACUCCUUUGCUAUUUUUGAUGAAACCAAACAACUGUAAAAUCAAACAAAAAUGGUUACUGGUAGCCGCCAGUGAAACUUUAAGUAGAGCGGUGCAAAUUCCCAAUGUUUAUUACAUUCAUGGGGCUCUUGCAAGUCUUUCGUCAAUCUCCAAUGUUCCGAGAACUGGCAUCGCUCUGCAGUAACAAUUUACCUGCCUACAACCUACAUCUACAGACUGUCUCCAGGCAUGACAGACGACCAUGGGUCCUACUACUACAAAUAUUUUGAAGACUCCCUGUUUGAUGGCCGUAUUUCAAGAAUUUUGCUGAAACAAUGGCUGCUCGACAGACAGAAAAAAUGAUCCCUGCGUUAUUCUUAUCUAUGUAUACAAGAUACACUAGCAGUUAGAAAAUGAAGAAUGUUCCUAAAAGUCCCUGACCAUGACUGAAUGUUGAAAGAAAGGCACCUUCUAGACAGCAGUAUCUCUAAGAACACUACCCUGAACCAAGACUGAAAACUGAAGAAAUGUAUUUAAGGCCUUAAUUAUUAAAUAAUGAAGUAAAUUUUUGUCUUUUUAGUU